rnacentral:sRNA from 1 species
UUUUAAGUUUUAUAGGGUUCCGCAGUUUGAAAUUUAUGACUGGUCAGGUCCAAGAUGAAACACACAACUUAUUGUGUUCACGGAGGGAUAAAAGCCCGGGAGAU